rnacentral:tRNA from 1 species
GGCGGAUGUAGCCAAGUGGANCAAGGCAGUGAAUU